rnacentral:rRNA from 1 species
GAUGAACGCUGGCGGCGUGCCUAAUACAUGCAAGUCGAGCGAACGGACGAGAAGCUUGCUUUUCUGAUGUUAGCGGCGGACGGGUGAGUAACACGUGGAUAACCUACCUAUAAGACUGGGAUAACUUAGGGAAACCGGAGCUAAUACCGGAUAAUAUUUUGAACCGCAUGGUUCAAAAGAGAAAGACGGUCUUGCUGUCACUUAUAGAUAGAUCCGCGCUGCAUUAGCUAGUUGGUAAGGUAACGGCUUACCAAGGCAACGAUGCAUAGCCGACCUGAGAGGGUGAUCAGCCACACUGGAACUGAGACACGGUCCAGACUCCUACGGGAGGCAGCAGUAGGGAAUCUUCCGCAAUGGGCGAAAGCCUGACGGAGCAACGCCGCGUGAGUGAUGAAGGUCUUCGGAUCGUAAAACUCUGUUAGUAGGGAAGAACAUAUGUGUAAGUAACUGUGCACAUCUUGACGGUACCAAAUCAGAAAGCCACGGCUAACUACGUG